GAUUGUUUUACCUUUUGCUUUUAUAAUAAGAAAAGAAAAAUGACAAAGAUCAGAAGUUUGGAAGAAAGAAGGGAUAAGUUUGGAUUAAAGAAUCAAUUGGCCAAACCAAAAUUUGAGGUGGGGAGAGAUUUGGAUUGGAUAUACCUCAUCUCAUAAAAUCCCUCACCUAACCCUAAUUUCGAGUUUUAGUUGUUGGAUCAUGAAGAUAAUUCAGGGAAUCAUCCACGUUGAAUCAAGAACAGUCAUACAAGUGAGUUGGACACUACAUAUUUAUUUAAAAUGUUAGGUUUAU
rnacentral:lncRNA from 1 species